rnacentral:rRNA from 1 species
CGUGUAGGCGGCCUUGCAAGUUGGGUGUGAAAGCCCUCGGCUUAACCGAGGAAGUGCGCCCAAAACUACGAGGCUUGAGUGCCGGAGAGGGUGGCGGAAUUCCCGGUGUAGAGGUGAAAUUCGUAGAUAUCGGGAGGAACACCAGCGGCGAAGGCGGCCACCUGGACGGUAACUGACGCUGAGACGCGAAAGCGUGGGGAGCAAACAG